GCCAGUGUGGCCUAGUGGUUUGUGCACUGGGCUAUCACUCUGGAGGCCAGGGCUUGAAUCCCCCACUCAGGUA